UACGGAGGGGGCUAGCGUUGUUCGGAAUUACUGGGCGUAAAGCGCACGUAGGCGGCUUUGUAAGUUAGAGGUGAAAUCCUGGAGCUCAACUCCAGAACUGCCUUUGAUACUGGGAAGCUCGAGUCCGGAAGAGGUGAGUGGAACUCCGAGUGUAGAGGUGAAAUUCGUAGAUAUUCGGAAGAACACCAGUGGCGAAGGCGGCUCACUGGUCCGGUACUGACGCUGAGGUGCGAAAGCGUGGGGAGCAAACAGG
rnacentral:rRNA from 1 species